rnacentral:rRNA from 1 species
UGGGGAAUAUUGGACAAUGGGGGCAACCCUGAUCCAGCCAUGCCGCGUGUGUGAAGAAGGUCUUCGGAUUGUAAAGCACUUUUAGUUGUGAGGAAGGGGCGAAGUAACGACUUGUCCUUGACGUUAGCAACAGAAAAAGCACCGGCUAACUUCGUGCCAGCAGCCGCGGUAAUACGAAGGGUGCAAGCGUUAAUCGGAAUAACUGGGCGUAAAGCGCGCGUAGGUGGUUUGUCAAGUUGGAUGUGAAAUCCCCGGGCUCAACCUGGGAACUGCAUCCAAAACUGACUGACUAGAGUACGGUAGAGGUUAGUGGAAUUUCCUGUGUAGCGGUGAAAUGCGUAGAUAUAGGAAGGAACACCAGUGGCGAAGGCGACUAACUGGACUGAUACUGACACUGAGGUGCGAAAGCGUGGGGAGCAAACA